UAAGGAUCUGCGCAUGGGGAGCAGAAAGGGAAGUAUAGGAGUCAUACCUACCAUAACUCGGCCUUAGACUCCGUCAUCGGGGUGAAGCUUGCUUAUUGGAAGGUGGCUGACUUGAUUCGAUCGGAGCUCCACCAUUCUUUUGUUUCUUUUUCUUUUGACCCUUGCUCUCUGUUUGGUGAUGGUUUGAAGCUUCUUCGUCUGCGUGCAUAUACUUGUAUGCAUGCUCCAAAAGUUCAGCAUAAGUCCGAGGGAGAGUUUUAUACAGAGAAUAUGUAAAUCGUGACCCCCUCAGACCUUUUUUCAUGGCUGAUAUAAUCAUGUCUUCAUUGAAAUUCUUGACCUCAAGCGUGACCACAUUAAAACGAGCCACGAAAUCUCGAAGUGUCUUAGUCUCUUCUUGUUUGAUCGAGAAGAGACUGUCAGAGGUUCCUAGCGGCCUUCGACUGGUACUUAAGUGAGCCACGAAAAAAUGUUCUAGUUGUCCGAAAGAGUAUAUGCUUCCCAACUGAAAUCUGAAGUACUAGGCUCGAGCAGCUUUCCGAAGAGUGAUCGAAAAAAUGAUGCAUAGGAAGACAUCGAUCGCCUCUUGAAUCGUCAUAAGAGCUUUAUAGCUCUCAAAGUGAUUGA
rnacentral:lncRNA from 1 species